rnacentral:misc_RNA from 1 species
AGGAUCAUUAAUGAGGGCGUGUGGGCUAAUAUCCCCGCGAACCCUAAUCCUUUGUUUACUGCCCCAUUGUGGUUUUAAUUUGGGCCCGGUAUGGCUUUCCCAUCUACUUUUCUAUUAGAAAAGUAAGAAAGUUUUGUGAUGUCGCCUAAAUUGGCUGUCACAGCGCCCCCCAAAAAAACAAAACCAGACCAAAAAAAAUCUAAUAAUAUAUUGAUGUCUGAAGUAAAUUAUUUAAACAAGCAAAACUUUCAACAACGGAUCUCUUGGUUCCGGCAUCGAUGAAGAACGCAGCGAAAUGCGAUAAGUAAUGUGGACCGCAGUACUCAGCGACUCAUCGAAUCUUUGAACGCAUAUUGCGCCCCUUGGUAUCACCAAAGGGCACACCUGUCCGAGCGUCAUUAUACAUCAUAUCAGGCCAAGGGCCCGGCUUGCAUUGGGCUUGUCUACUUUAUGUAGAGGUCUAAAAGUUAUUGGCGGUUAAGUUAGGCAUUCCGGCUUAGUAAUUUAUAUUAGCUGUUGAAAUGUCUUUUAAUAGUCAACACGUCCAGGGUUUCUGCUGGCAGAGACCUGGUUGAAUUUUAUCAAUUAUUGACCUCGGAUCAGGUGAGGAUACCCGCUGAAUUUAA